rnacentral:rRNA from 1 species
GACGAACGCUGGCGGCGUGCUUAACACAUGCAAGUCGAGCGGUAAGGCCCUUUCGGGGGUACACGAGCGGCGAACGGGUGAGUAACACGUGAGCAACCUGCCCUUCUCUUUGGAAUAAGCGUUGGAAACGACGUCUAAUGCCGAAUAUGACCCCCUGUCGCAUGGUGGGGGGUGGAAAGCUCUGGCGGAGAAGGAUGGGCUCGCGGCCUAUCAGCUAGUUGGUGAGGUAACGGCCCACCAAGGCGACGACGGGUAGCCGGCCUGAGAGGGUGGCCGGCCACACUGGGACUGAGACACGGCCCAGACUCCUACGGGAGGCAGCAGUGGGGAAUAUUGGACAAUGGGCGAAAGCCUGAUCCAGCAACGCCGCGUGAGGGAUGACGGCCUUCGGGUUGUAAACCUCUUUCAGCAGGGACGAAGCGAAAGUGACGGUACCUGCAGAAGAAGGACCGGCCAACUACGUGCCAGCAGCCGCCGUAAUAC